UCACUGUCUCUUCUUAUGUGAGAAGGAGAAAUAUUCAGCAAGGCCAAGGACACUAAACAAACUUAAAGAAGCCUCCAGUCCUUGAUUAAGGCAAAUAGCUUGACAAGACCACAGAAUGUCUGAAGAAAUUCAGUGGUUCUUAAUGGCAAAAUCACUGCAGCUGACAUGGACCCCGAACACCAGGAGGAAGCCCAGGGAAGGGGAGAUGCAGGGAUUGAAUCCAACUGGGAGGCAUCUGGGAUACUGGUGGAGAAGGGGAUGAGUGAUGCAGGCUCCUUGCUCCAGGUGGUAAGAGUGCUUGGCAACAAAUGACAAGUAAACCGGUUGCCAGAUGAAGCCCUUUGUGUGUAAUGUCAUUGGCAACAACAAGAAAAAACUGAUCGUUUAUUUCAGUUGUGAAAGGUACAUCAUGUUCUGGAGAUGAUUAAAAAUGCAUAAUAAAUACUUACCUGAAGGGGUUUGUAAAUGCAGGCCCUAGCAGGAAUGCAUCAAGGGUCUUUAUGCAAAAUGAUUUUAUAAUGGCUGAGGAAGAAAUUAUUUAUUAGUUCAUCAAACAUAAAGAAAGAGUUAAUGAUAGCAUAUGUUAUAAUCUUUAUUGUGGCACAUAAUUAGCAUUCUCAGUGCAGUCGCUGAGCACGACUGGUAAGAGUAACGAGUGUGAUUUAUAAUAAUAUUACAAAACACACUUUUUCCUACCAAAAUUAAUGAAUCCUAGUAGAGAGAAACAGCAAAUGCAUUUAACCAAGAUUUCAGAGUCUGGUCCUGAAAUAUCAAAUUCUGAAGCAGUAACUGUCUCGGAAAGGCUUGUGCUUUUUGCCCCAGGUUGGAUGGUGUCUUCUGGGAGCGGUUCAUGGGUUUUUUUUCUGCCUCCAUCCUUGGUUAGAAGGACCAUUCUGGGGACAGAGGUGCAACUUCUCUGAGGGUUGUCUGAGCCUCUCUGGUGUGACUGCGUGAGAGCAGAUUCAUUAAAUCAGGCUUGCAUGCCCAGGCUUACCAGGAGUAUUUCCAGGGGCUUGGUACUCCAGGACGUGUGAUGUUCCACAGCUCAUCUCUCCUCUGAUGCUGGCUGUCACUAACUUGUUUUGGCUGUGAUUUUGCAAGCGUUCAGGUUUUGAAGCAAAAGGGAUUUUUGCCCUGUCAGUGAACACUGAUUGCUCACUCUGGACAAAUAGAAGAAUUUCCAUUAUUAUCUGGCAAAUGGUGGAUGUUAGCGCUGCUGUGUAGUGACACCUCCUUACGGGGCAGAGGGAAGGCUCUGUGCAUAUGGAGUCCCAUCUGCAUGGGAUAAAUCUGAUGGAGUGAGGCUUUAUGGAGCAACGAAAAUAUGGAAAUGCAGAGGAUCAUGUUGUGCACAUACUUGUGUAAAUACUUGGGCACAGAGAAAGACCUAUUUGCAGCUUGGGAAUUGCAGCUGAUCCCAAAGCAGAUCACAGGGGAGAGGUAAGAGAGGCCACGUUUUGAAUGCAAACACUUUACUGACCUUAAAACACACUUUGAGAACCAGCCCACACCUGCUCUACAUGCCAUAUCCUUUGCAUCUAUGGUGGUUUUCUGUCCGUGUGCUAUAAUAACACAUUCAAACUAAGUAUUCAUUGACUGACAUCAUGGUCAAGUUACGAAUGAUGUACAACAAAUAAUGUCUUAGUGCUCAUAAAGCAAUUUUUAAAAAUUUUUUCUUGGGUCAAUUGUGAUUAAGUCAAUAGAAAGUCUCUAAAUCUCUAUCUGGUGUUCAAAUGUAAAUUUAAAAAAUUACUUAUUCUCAAAAAAAUGGCAACCUUGCUGUAUCUCAGACCUGAUAAACUGAAAAUCAGAGGGAUAAAUGGCCGGGAUAUGCAGUGAACAUGUCCUUUGCCUCCAGUUUCAUAGAAAGCCAUUUGCCACAGUGUGAGCCUCUCUCAGACUGUUGGAAGUCGCAUUUCUAGUAACACUCAACAUUACUGGAGUAUUUGUGUUAUUCAUAACAUACAACACAUUUCUGUUCAACUUCCUUAUCAGGCUGGUUGUACUUUUAGUGCAUCCUUUUUUUCAAAUGAAGAAGCCAGGGAAGCCAUGGACUUCAUGAGACAUGAGAUGUCCCAAAAGCAAAGAUCUGGGCCUUACAUGGAAAACUCUCACUGAGCAGGAGAUCGAAUCUGACCUUUGGAUUUGGGCUCUCAUCAUCUUCUCAAAACAUAAUUAUUCCACUGCAGUUGUAUCAAACAUUUUUAGGGUUGACCAGUAAAAUUUCCUAAGUCCCGCUGCUGGCAUCAAUUUAAAGCUGUUAGUUGCUUUAUAGAAGCCCAUCUCCUUUAAAGUCUACAGCAUGGAGUUUAUGCUAAAUAAACAUUACAUGCUGUUCUAAGUACCAUACUACAACUGCCCAGCAUGUAAUUUGUGUGAUUGAAGAACAUUUGUGUUUCUCAUUGUUGCAUGCUUAACUUCUGCCAAGGUGGCUAUUUUUACUUCUUUUAGCAGAGUCUAAAAUAUAGUAUUCUGAAUAGACGGUACAUACCUGGAUAAGUAAUUAGGGAGUUUGGGUCUUUAAAUGCAUUAUAGUCACUUUCGAAAACAAAUGCUUGAGUGCUUCUUUGAACCAGGGCUUAUGUCAGUUGAUUAGACUUUGCGAAUAUUCUGAAUUGCUUAAAAUGCCUCAAUGUAUUUAGGAGUAUAAAUAUAGCAUAAUUAAAUUAUGCAGAUUAUUAGAAAGUAUGGCAUAUCCUAAUAUGCUUCCUAUCAUUAGGGAAAAGGGUCCAAGGUAAUUAGAAUUCAGAAAGAGUAUAUACAAUUAAAGUUAUCUGCUUACAACUCAUUAAUAAUUAGGUUUCAGACACACUACUCAUAGCACUUGUUGGUGCUUUUGUUUUCUCUGAAAAUAAUAAUUGAGAUAAAUAUUUUUAAAAUGAAGUAGGGUCAUAUUUGCCUUAGGAUUUAAAAGUUAGGACUUGUGAUACUCAGCGAUGUUUUCUGACUGUUUCUAACCUAAAGCAAAGUUUUUAGGUGUAUUUCCGUCCAGCAUCUCCAUCAUUUUGGUAGGUCCAUCUUUGCAUCCAGCAUUUGCUUGCAUGGAGGUGUCUUCCUGGGCCAGAUGUGGGGCUCAGUUAAACCAAACCAGCUCCAAAAGCUUGUGCUUGAAGAGAAAUAUCUUUCAUCAUGAGAUGGAGAUAACAAAGUCUUUUCCUUCUCCAAAAACACCAGUGAAAUUCAGUUUUGGAGACAUAAACAAAGAUGAGAAAGCUAAAAUAUAACGACAGAUCCAGGUGUGUGGGGCACCUUGUCCCACGACACUGAAUUCUGCACCCAGUCCCUCUGGUGUUGGGUUUAUGGUCAUUGUGUUUAUUGCUGUUUGUGUUAUUUAAUUUGCUGCAUUUUGGAAAUUAUUAUCUUUUCAAUUAUUAUUUUUUUAAUAUCAGUUAUGCUCACUGUUAGUACAAGGCAAAAAAACCCCAUAAAUCGUAAUGUAAUUAAUCUCAUCUUCUGGGAGUGUGUGGGGAACUUGAACUGAAGCACUUUACAUAAAGACUAAUAUACCUUUGGAACCUGUAUAUUCUGUACAUCCACAUGUAUUUUUGGAAAAAAUCAGGCAUUAGGUCCAGCCUGCACACAGUGGAAAAAUUCUCAGUGAUUUCAGAACCUUUGAAGGAGAACUUAAGCGAAUUUAGGAAGAUAUUAACUUUGUUUUGGAGAUGGAUGGGAUUAAGAGGUCAAACUGGAAAGUAACAGAGCAGAAUAUAGCCUGAACCUGACAGACCAAUCAGUUGUUUUCAUAGAUUUUUAAGCAAGAAAGUGCCAUUAUAAACAUCUUUUCUGACCUUCUGUGUAUUGCAAGCUAGAAAAUUUAAUCCAUGAUUCCUGCAUUAGAGGAAACUGCUCUGCUCUAUUUUAUAAAAUGGUUGUCUUGUUUGUUUUCUUGGGCAAUAUUUUACUUUCUCAGGGUGUACAAUACCAGCCAUUAGAAAGCCGAUUUUGGCUCAGUUUGCUAUAGAUUUGUUUUAAACAUUUUGAUAUAUAUUGUAUAAAUAAAGGCUUCAUAAAAGAAAACCUACUGAAAACAGCGUAGUCACUGCACAAAUCCAUGUCCAUCACUGCACAAUGUUUGUCUAUAUUUUAUUUCUUUCCAGGUUGCUGAGAGCUCUUUCUGUUUGCCCAGAGCCUGCUCCCACUUGGACCCCUCUUGUGUCUGGUUUUACCAUAAAUUCAAGAUGAAAAUCUUCCCUGUAGUGAAGGAUUCACCAUUAUUAGUGAACGAAUGCCACAAAAUGAAGGCAAAAUUCACUUGUAAAAGAGACGCUUUUUCGGAAAGCCACCUCCAGGUCAGGAAACUGGGGGCAGCAGGUUGGCAUCCUGGUCACAAGUUACAUCAGGGUAAAAUAUGCAUUAGAAAUUGCUGAGGAAGAUGCUUUGUGGUGAGUAUUAUAUAUUCACUUCCAUUAUAAACACAGAAUGUCCUCCCCCACGUUGAGAAAAUCCAAAUGUUUCUGUACUUACUGGGACAUCUUCAGUGGCUGUAUUUAUCUUCCCCCAUUUGACUGAAACAAGAGAGAUUCAAUCUUGGAGAGGAAUUUAGGCAGUCACACUAUUUUUAUCAAUCACAAUACAUAUAUUUAAAAGUAAAGAAGUCUGAAUUUUCUAUGAAGAUUUAAAUACAAAUUGCACACUGUAUAAUCAGAUCUCUUAAUGAAGUGCAGUCAAACACAAAAGACAAAGAGUCUCUAACUUAAAAGGCACUGCCCUGCGAACACUUGCUUCCCACAGAUUCAAGAUUUUGAUGAUUUUGCUGGUUGUUUACAUCGGUACAUCCAGAUGUUUUGCAUGGGGCAUGAGUUCGGGAUGCAAAACUCCUGUGGCUGGAAGCUGGUGAAGGGUUUGGAGGGGAGGACAUAUGAGGAGCGGCUAAAGUCUCUUGGUUUGUUCAGCCUGGAGAAGAGGAGACUAAGAGGAGACCUCAUUGCAGUUACAGCUUCUUCACAAGCGGAGGAGGAAGGGUAGGCACCGAAUUCUUCUCUAUAGAGACCAAUGACAGAACCCGAGGGAAUGGCAGGAAGAUGUGCCAGGGUAGGUCUAGGUUUGGACAUUAGGAAAAGGUUCUUCACCCAGAGGGUGCUGGACACUGGAACAGGCUCCCCAGUGAGGUGUCACGGCCCCAAGCCUGACAGUGUUCAAGAAGAGACUGGACAACGUCCUCAGACACGGUGUGAACUGUGGGGUGUCCUGUGCAGGGACAGGUGUUGGACUCCAUGAUUCUUGUGGGUCCCUUCCAAUUCAGGACUUUCCAUGAUUCUAUGGUCCCUGUGGAGCAUUAGCUGUCGUAGUCCUGCCAACGAUCCUCCUGUGUGUCUGGAACCCUGAACAGGACUCAGUGGUGGCAUUUUCUGCUGGUUAUUUUAACAGCUGCUAUAUGGUUUCACCUUGUAAUUGCAUCCUUUAGACUAUCUCAAUAUUACGUUUGUCAGGCCAGCAGCAAGUUAGAUAAAAAAUGUGUAAAAUUUUGUUUGGAUAAAUGGUGUGCGGUGUGUUGCCGAGGAGUUAAAAAAAUUCUCUUCCCAUGAUAAAUCCCUCAGCUUAUUUCUUCAUUCCAUAGCUGCAACAAAGUCCCUUUUUUAAAUAAUAGUUUUCCUCUGCUAUUUUACAGGUAUAACAAACUAUUGCUUUAUUCUUUAACUUCUGUUUCAGAUGCUCAGGCUGCUGUAAAUCUCUUGCAGUUCUGAAAUAACACUGCCCCUUGUGGCACUGACAGCCAGACUGUAACUGCUGUGCUGAAACAUGGUGGUUUAUGUCAUCUGAUUUGUGCUGCCCAGGUCCAUGGAAACAGGUCUGUGGCAUUUUUGCAAUCAUUGCUUUAUCUCUAUUAUAAUAAUAAGUAAUUUCUGAAAGGUAUUGAAGUGGAAAAAUAAACAAAGUAAAAAGAAAAAUCUCAGAUAAAUACAUUAUCAGAAAGACAUAUUAUUGAUUUCAUUAUUAAGCAUUAACUAUUUUGGAUUUUUUAAAUAAGCUUUUCAGCCAAAGCAAUGUAUCUACUUCAUUAAAAAAAUAUGUAUUAAAAAAAUUGGCAAUUACUAUUCUGAUCCUGUGAGGAAAGACCUGAAGUGCUAGAAAACAUGAGUUUGUUUCAUUUGGAUGAAACCAUGGGUAAGAACUUAAAAACCCUAAAUUUGCUGUAAUUCACUAGUAGUAUUUUUCAAUCCAUGCAGUACCAUAUAACUCUUUAAUGCAUAUAACAGAAAGUUCUUUUUUCAGGAAAGACAUUAAACAGUAUAUUUACAUUCUAUCUCGCUUUUUUUCCCCCUUCCUAUAAACAUAGGAGUACUUCUUAUAAGCUACGACAUCUUACCUUUUGUGCAUAACAGAAUUAAUUGGCUUGGGAAUCCCCAGGCAGCUGUGUUUGCAUUGCCAAGAUGGGAUAAUGCACAAAUUUACUUGUGUUAAAUUACGUCCAGAGGUCACUCAAUCCAUAGAGUUUUGUGAAAAUAAAUAAACAAAUAAAUAAACUACUGGUGCCAAGUGAGAGGAUAGGCAGCAGAAUCUCACAAUAUUCCCUUAGAGCACCUAGUACCUUAAUGUUUUAGUUUCUAUUUUUCAGUAGAUUUUUCUCUGGAAGCAGCAUUUGCAUUAUGGAAUGGGAACACAUCUGAAAUAGUGUUUAGAGAUUUAAAAGGUGCAUUUCUGAGAGUUUGCAUUAUUUUGAAAGAUGUGAGUCAUAAAUAGAAAAAGUUGAUGAUGAGGAGCAAAUUAAUAAAAAACCAUAAGAUUUGUCCGACUUCCCAAAUGUGGAUGUAUACAUUUUGCAGGACAAUCAUGCUGAGUGCAAAAUUCUCUGUGCAAAAUUCUUAGAAAAUACAAAUGCUGAAGAAAACCCACCUUAAAGAAAGUCAGGAACAGUUCAGUGUUUGGGAGAGGUUAUAUUUUAGCAUAAAAUCCAGCAAGUGGGAGUGAAAAUCAUUACCUGAGGCGUACCCAAGGAUAUUGGAUGGCUCAGGAGCUCAAACGCAAUCUGUGUACUGGUUUUGCUCCACUGCGUUUUCCAGUCAAAGCACAUUGGAAAUUCAUAGAUCUACUGUCCAAACUUUUGGUCUUGCUUGUUGUGGAUUUUUUUUGUUGUGGUGGUGGUUUUUUGUUUGUUGCUUUUGUUUGUGUGUGUGGUGUGUUUUGUUUCAUUUUUUGUCUGUUUGUUUAUUUUUUAUUUUAUGAAGGAGCUAACCAAGAGAUACCAGAGGGAAAAAGAAGAAUGGCAACACUUACAGAGCUACUGCAGAUGCAGAUGUCUGCAGGUUAUGAAGGUGGAGGAUGUGUCCACGUUUCUUUCAGCUUAUUUACUUCUUAAAACUUCUGUAUUCACACAAGUUUCAUGGGGCAGACUUGUCUUUUAGCACUCCAGUCUGCUCCAACCUUACCUAAGUAACUGGCAUUGUCAGUGGCACAUUUGCUUAUUCUGCUCUGGUGUCCCUCUCUCUUCACAUCUCUGCUGCUAUUUGCUGAGAGCAUUUCUGAAGUGUGACAAACCAUCUUUAGACAUACUUCAAAUGACAAUUUUCAUUUCUUUUUGGAGAACAUAAAUAAGAAAGGAACACCAAUUCCCCAAACAUGAGUGUUCCUCAACUUUGCAGGUUGUAGAUCCAUAAUCUUUCCACAGGAAUUAAUUAUUAUUUCAUCCUAUGAAUUGUGGCAAAGAAUGUUAUGGGAUGCUGUCAGGCUGUCAAGGUUGAGAAAAGUUAAUUUGUUUACAGAAUCACACAGAACCACAGAAUGGACUGGGUUGGGAAAGACCUCAGAGAUCAUCGAGUCCAACCCUUGGUCCAACUCUAGUCCAUUUACUAGAUCAUGGCACUAAGUGCCAUGUCCAAUCUCAGUUUAAAAGUAACAAGGUGGUUAUAUUUGUAUGCAACUGGUUGGAAAAUGUAGCGGUAUCUUAUGUCCCUGAGCUUGUGCUUCUGACCACAGAGCGUCUUUGUCGUGCUGGGUUGGAUGUUUUGAUGUGGUGCCUCCAAGCUGGGGCCACGAGGCUGAGCAGGGCAUGAAUGGCCAAGGUCUUCUCUAAUGGCUUUGUGAUGGGUGUGAGCACCCACAAACCAGGGCAGAAAAUCAGAAUUGCAGGUACAUUCACAAAGAGGCACUUAUGCGUCUGGGGGACCUUGUCUGAAGAAAGUUGGGGAGGCCCUAAUGGGCCAGAGAAGCUUGAACUUGGCUCACACAGUGAAGUACUCAAAGAAGGAUGAGCUCUGAGUGAUUUCUUUCUGGCUUAUAUUUCCAGGUGAGUUAAUAAAAGCUCAUUUCAGUUAAUCUGCAUCCAUUGAGUAUUGCCUGUGUGUCUGCGGCUGGAAUGAUGCUAUGGUCAUGUCUUGGCGAUGCUAGCAGAGCUUAAAGCUUCUUGUGUCCACGAAUUAGAAGAAUCAAUCUCUUUGAACACAUUUUAAAUUGAUCUUUGAUUGGACCACAUGGCUCUUGGAUAAGGUACCCUAGUAUUAGUCAAUUUGACUUGGAAAGAUGAUGAUUCAAAUUAAAAUUGAAAGAUGACCUACAUUGAGCAGCUGCAGUCUGCAGAGUGAUCUUUUUUUUCCCUUUUAUUUUAUUAGUCUGCCGCUCAGUUUGCAAAGUCCUUGCUGUGAAUACUAAUGUCUAUGCCCAGGGCUGCGUCCAGAAUUGCUAACUCGGGCAUUUGCAUUAACGAUCCACGGCCUGCAAUAUCGCUCUAAUCCUGGCUUCAAAUUACUCAGAAUCUAUAACACAAAAUUCUUCCAUAUCCUCUGCUUUUAAGAACGUAUUUACAUCUAACAUAGUUACACAGAGCUGCCUGUUAGUUUGAAGGAUCUGACUUUACUGCUUCAUUUGCCUUUUCUGUUUUAAUAGUAGUUUGAAUUCAGUAUGAAGGUCUUGAAAAAGUGUGGUUGACCUCAUGGUCCUGCAUUCACAAGGGAAGGGGUUGUAUCCAGGCACCUGGAUGGCAAGGGUGGCUUCUUGGUGACCUCUUAGAUGUCAAGGAUCUUCUGGUUUUGGUCUCCCUCACAUGCAGUUUUAUGACCAAACCUCAUUUCUAAAUUCAGCAGAUUUUAGUCAAUAAUUAAAUGUUCAUGGCUAAACUAUAACUAGCUGCUUUCCCUUGUCCCCUGCCAAGAAAGAUCUGUAAUGGGAAAACUGUCAAGUCAGGAGACUUAAAGAUUUAUAUCUGAAAGCUCCAUUGUGGCAGCUUCUUCAGAGCCAUGUUACUGGGGUUGCCUUGUCAGCUACAUCAAUAAUCAAUCAAAAAUCAAUCUGUAAUGAAGGGAGAUGAGAUAAUUUUUCCUUUAACAAUAGUGACAUCUUCUAGUUUUAAAUUACAUCACAUUUUAUUCUGAAGGAUACCACAAGUCUGAUAAACUGGAGGAAACACUUGGAUGCACCUGAAAGCUGAAAUGCAUGAUUUUUCUUUGGAAGAACAAACAAAGCAAAAUGAAAAGAGAAGAAGCAGGGCAACCACAUACUCCUCCCAAUGCAACAGUUGGGCAAUCAUUUGAACACAAACUGGUUUGCUGGGCUCCAGUUGAAUGGCCACUGGUGCCACUUGCUAAUGCUGGGACCAACCAUUCCCCCGGGGAAGCCAACCAGAUGGCCGAGCACAACAUCAAAGGCAAAGAGAUGUUCCUAUUUAAAACAACCAAGAAUUGUCUUCUUAUUUUUUUGUAAAUAUUAGGAGGGCUGUUUUGGUUUGUUUUGGUUUUUUGUUUUUUGUUUUCUUCAGUACUUGAAGUGACUUAAUAACAGAUCCAGCCCAUUUCUUCUAAAUCUCAUAGAAUAUUUCCUCUAAUGAGAUUUUUGUCCAGCAAUUUUCAGUGGAGCUGUGCUGCUUGUUGCAGGUUGUUCCAUCUUUGGCUUCCUCUUUUGAAUGGUUCAGCUGCAUCGGGAAGAAGUAGACAGACUGCUCCGGGAUUUAAAUGAACAGUCAUAUGCUAACAAUAACGAACAAUAAAAGCAAAUUGCUGAGAUGCCAUCAGGCACAAGCUGGAGGUCAUUUCCAUAAACAACACAGCUUUUUCAAAAUAGGAAUGCAUUUGGUUAACUGAUGCUCGUUUCAUGGAAGUUUGUGAAUGAUUCUCAGAAGAAAGCUGCAUCCAUCAAUCUGUUUUCCGUGAGUGGUUAAUCUGUUUGUAUCCGGAAACAACUGUAUUUGUCUUGGUUGUGUAGAGGCCACCACCUUGGUGGGGCAUCACUGAGAACGUUGCUGGAGGGGCCAUAUUCACAUUCUCCUUCAGAGAGCCCAUUGUUUUCAAACAAAUUUGUCCCAAACUCAGUCCCUAGUUCCAUUACUGUGAAAAGCGAUUUAAAAAGUCAACCUUUAGAAAACCAUGAUAUUAAAAUGGCAUAGGUUGACUGCCUCCCUCUCUGGUGAACUUUUAGCUGGGCUUGUCUGAUAAGUCCUCUCUCCCCCUACCUUGUAGCAAAGCUUCAUUCCAAGGUGCUGCUUUGAAUUUCCCAUCACAAGUGAGCAGCGGAGCACCAUCAUGUACCCAGCACCCAGAGGUGACAGCUGUUGGCUUCAGGAGCCCUCAGCAGUCACGUGAUGGUGAAUAAAGAUCAUUUUUAGAUUAAAUUAAUUUCUUAUUGAACAUGGUGAAUAUUCAAAACUAUUAGUAUUUAAACAGACUAUUGCAGGCAGACACUUAACAGUAGGAGUGUGAAAGGUGGCGGUGAGAACAGUCCUGGCUUUCCUGUGCCCACCUUGGAGAGAAAAUCGUAGUCAGGGCACCUUGGGAAGUAAUAAAAGCAAAUUAGUUCAAGAAAUUGUUCUGCAUAGCGUGCUGUACAAUUUUUCCUGCAAUAAUAAGUCUGUGGCAGGGAAGAAAGACUGAAAAUAAAGAGGUUAGUCCUGUGUUUGAGCAGACUGGGGGAAGGGAUCCUGCUGUUAGUGGGUGUAUGAGAAGAAAAGCUGCUACUUCCCAGCUCAGCGCCUGCUGCUGUUCCCAUCCAAAGCACAACUUGUCUUUUCCACAUCUCUGCAGCGUCUGGCAGGCAAAGGUUGGUUGACUAUACAGGAUGGAUGCUUGCAAAGGGAUUACAGUCUCAAUAUUAAAAAGGUUAAAAGACUGAUAAGGAUCACUGCUAUCCUGCAGGAAAUUUCCUGCCAGCACCUCUCACACAGGGUUUUGUGCUCCAUCUGCAACGUUGCAUGGCUUCCAAGUUCACAUCUCAGCAGGGUCAGUCUGUCUUACAGCAGUACAAGAGAGCGUUUUCCCAGGUGAUGUCUUUAAGACUGACAUCUGGGAGAGAUGCCCAUUUGGUGUAAAGCAGCAUCCUGCUGAGGACAAGGAACUACUGGAGGGAGUCCAGCAGUGUUCUAUGAAGAUGAUGAAGGGUCUGGAGCAUCUUGCUUAUGAGGAAAGACUGAGAGAGCUGAGGUUGCUCAGCCUGGAGAAGAGAAGGCUGAGAGGGGAUCUCAUCAGUGUUUAUAAAUAUCUCCCGGGUGUGUGUCAAGAGGAUGGAGCAGACUCUUUUCAGUGGUGCCCAGUGAGGGGCAACGGCACAGACUGAAACACAGGAGGUUCCAUCUGAAUAUGAGGAGAAACUUCUUUGAGGGUGCUAGAGCCCUGGAACAGGCUGCCCAGAGGGGUUGUAGAGUCUCCUUCUCUGAAGAUAUUCAAACCCUCCUGGCUGUGAUCCUGUGUGAUCUGCUCAGGUGAACCUUCUUCAGCAGGUGGGUUGGACUUGGAUGAUCUCCAGAGGUCCCUUCAACCCCAGCCAGCCAUUCUGUGAUUGAGUGCCGCAAGGCUAUGUCUGUGCUAGCUGAGGGCUGAGCUUUGUUUCUAUUAAAAAACAAUCAGGAUCUGUUACAAACUACUUAGAAUGCGGUGAUAAAUGCAAAAGUAAGUAUCUACUCCCCUAACCCUUCUUAGCUGUGCAUAGUCCCUGCUGACAAUGUCUCAAGCUUUUGAUGCAACAUCUGUGUCCUACAGAACCCUCCAUUGCUUCUUGCGUGGUUCCAGCUGUUCUCUGUCAUCAUUUGAAGGCGGGUAAGAACAGUGAUGACAGGAAGGGCCUGUGAUGACAAGCAGGACAGAAAGGAGAUUGGAAAAGCUCUGGCUGCCAUGAGUGGCAAUUCACUCUCUUGCCAGAGGAAGGCUGACAGCUUCAGGACUGUGGGCAGCCAACCUGUGGCCAGCUGGGAAUUUGUAUUAAGCUGCCUGAGCUCACCUAGGAUCUAGGAGGGUUUCGGUGUCAGCCGUGGUGUGUAUCAUCGAGCGCCAAGUGGAUUAUGGAGUAAGCCUCUUCAGCUGCACACGUUUCUUCCAGUGCAUAAGAAAUCAAAGUAGAGUGGACUGUGUUUCUUGUUAUCUUUCUGCAAUAUGAGUCUAACAAAGUAUUUCCCUUACAAGAGCAUCUUUGAGGCUGAUGGGGGAACAAAGGGUAAGAAUCACAGAAUUUUACAUUUUCAUUAAGGGUGCAUUGCAUUUGAGCCAUGUUGAAAUGUGAUGUAGUAUUUUAAUAUCUGUAAUAUUACAGUAAUACCUGUGCAAUAUUCAGCAAGCUGGUUGUGCUUCUCACAUAAACCCUGUUUUCUAGCAGUUUUCUACAGCAGCUUUCUGAUGUCCGAUCUUUCCUUACAUGGAAACAGCUUUUCAUGGGAGCACUUAGAGUUAAUUUCCUGACACUGUGGAUUUAGAGCAAACAGGAUUUCUUGCCACCAAACUGUCUUAAAGUAUAUGGAACACUUUUCACAGUCAUGCACAGUUUUAAAAAAUGCCUUAAUUUUAGGAACUGACAUUCCUACAGAAAGUGAGGGUCAGUUUUAGAAGCAGUAAUUGAUGUGCAUGAGCAUGUGUGAGGUGUUUAAAGGUCAGGAAUUUACCUGGAUUGUGGGUUGUUCUCCAAUUGGAUGGUGCCUGCCAGUUUGGCCACAGCUCUUCGAGGCUGCCCGUAUUUAGAUAUGACAUGUUGAGAUACACGCAAACUUGUACUUUAUUCUCUGAUUGAACUUAAAGGACUCUUAUUUGAAGAAAUGUUUAAACAGCAUGUUAUUAGAUAAUUGCACACUUCCAAAAAUAUGUUUUUGUUAUUUUUGAGGUAGCCGUAAUCACUAAAGAGAAAUCAAGAAUCAAUUUAGUAUUUAAAAUACAAUGAAUAGAAGUAGUAUUGAGAGGUCUGACUGUUAUAUCCCCUAUGCAUCUCUUCAAUGGGAGACUUACCCAUUAGUGCCCAGAUCCAGACACCUCAUUAUUUUUGUGUUUCACACUCCUUACACAACAGAAAAAAUAUGUCUGCUGUCUAAAUUUUAUUAACUUUGUGCCUUGGCUGCAAAUGAUCAAGACGAGAUUCAAAUUUUUGCAAUGGGACACAAAAUGGGGGUGUUCUGCAGGGAUUAUGAGACAUGUUUGUCAUGUAUGGGAGAGACCUUUUCUGAAAAAAAUCUUAAUUAGAUUUUCAGAUCUGAGCACAAAUUCUGAGUAUCUAGUCAAUGAGGUUCAGCCUUGGAAACACAAUCCUGGAGCAAGACUGGUGCAUCCUUGUCUCCAGACCGCUUUCUAGUUUACCUGUAUUUCCAGGAAAGUGGAACUCUUGGGGAUAUGAAUCUGUAGAGAUUCUGAAUUCAUACUGAAACUUGACCUCUCACUUCUAAAGAAAAAACAUGUGGAAUUCAGCGCUGUUAAGGAAGGAAAGGAAAACACAUGACAUCCAUGGCUCAAAGGGAGAAUAAGUGAAUGAUGGAAGUCACAGCCUGAUGAGCUGAACUUCUCCAGAUGACUGAGCACAGAAUGCCGCAGUGUAAUCACUGAAAAGUACCGAGGGUGCUGAUUUUCUCCUCCCCCUGUGGAAUUUUUAGAUGAAUAUAACUCUAUUGUCCUCGCUGAAAUAAUGCCUUACUCAUCAAUUUAUGGCUGGAAGAGUUUUGUGCUUAGAACUGAGCAUCUUCUGAUAAAACACUUACAGGAAAAGCCACUCUGCUUUUUAUCAAGAAAAGGUAUAAAUAUGCACCUUUUGAAUAUCUUCAAAUGAGCUUAUGUUUUGAUUUUCCUCAGCAAAACCUCCUUGAGUUGAGAAAACUCACAAUUUAUUUUUAAAAAAGCAUGUAAUUUAUAUUUAAAGACAGCACUUAAAUAUUUACUGUGAAUAAAGAUGCGACCUUCACAGUCUAUUAAAUGAGAAAUAAUACUGCUGCCAUAGCAAUAGUAUAAGAGGUUACCAUUUGGGAAAUGAGAAAAAUCUCUCUAUUUUGGUUCACUUCCAAAAAUAUUAAUAGUUUUCUUCUUUCACAAGUGAUUUUACUGUCAAAACAUUUGUCACAAUAGCAUGGCUCAAUUCACACGUGCCCUGAAGGAGUAUGUCUGCCAUUAGCUAUAUUCUGUGCAAAAGAGUAAUCUUACAGGAAUAUUAUUUUCAACAGAGAUUUGCUUGCAGCCACCGUUCCGGCUAAGGUUUAACAUGGAAAGUUACAUAAAGUAUUAUGUGAUAAUUAUGCGAUAAUUUUAAUCUUAAAAAAAUGCAACUGGUCAAAAAGAUGAUAUGGCACCACUCUUCAGGGAAGAUUUAACUUCAAUUGGUUUUCAUUAGAUAAGGUGAUUAUUACCUUUUCAUGUAUCAAAAUUAUUAUAUUUACUUAAAAUUGCACAUCCAAUAAUAUCCUUAAUAAAUACUGGUUUUCAUUUUUAAUGUAUUGCAAAAAAUCAAGAAGGAGAAUAAGAGUGACUCAGGCUUGUCCUUGGUAAUAAUAAAGAAAUGUUACAGCUUUUAUGAAUUUAAUAUUUCUAAUGAUUUAAAAAUCUGUUCUUAUGUUACUCUGGGAGAGGCCAGAUGGCCAACUAAUGUGUAGCAUGUAAAUAAGUCAGCAGUCUCAUCUACAUACUUAUACAAAAGCAAAUACAGUCUCUGACAAUAAUUCUCCAAGCAUUUUCAAAAGCCAGCAAAAAGAGUCAGGUUCCCCCAAAUGUGUUUAGGGUAUUACUUCCAGUCAUGUUAGUGGUUUUGAACAGAAGGAUCAUGGAAAGUCAUGUGUUAUAUGAUAGAAGAAAUUUGUUAUGGGUUUGCUUCAAAAAAUUCUUGAUGGCUUUUGUGGGCCAUACCCUUGGACACCUCGGAAGUCCUGGAGCCACCACAGUGUGGGACACAGAGCAACUGUCUCUGCUGAGGUCUUUCUUUAGUUCUGCAUCUAUCUCGGUGCUGUUUGGUUCUCUUAUAUGGAAAUCAAACUAUGGAAAUGGUAUGUGGAAAAACAAAACAACAACCAAGGUAUCAUUUGAGUCCUUACUCCAUGAGACCCGGUAGCUCUUGCUUUCCCAGCAGCUUCAGACUGUGGCACGUCAGUUGUACGUCCUCCUGAGAUGUACCUAUGGCUUUGUUUACUAUCAGCAGGGCAAAUUAAAAAGUAUUUUACAUGUAUCUGUAUAAUAGAGAAAUAUAAUCAGCUAUUCAAUUAACUAGUAAUGAGUAUUUUAGUAUUGGAUUUGUAUGUUGGCUUGAAGGAUUAGAUCUAUGCUUGACAGUCCUGUGCCAUGUCAAGAGUGCAACAAAAGCUCCAUGAACUUUAUGGUCUUUUUGCUGUAGCAUAUGUUUAUAAAUGCUGCCAUCAGGAAAGCAGCUUCAGCCUCUGUUAAACCAACUAGGCCAGUAAAGCAGACAAGUUUGUAACUGUCCAGACAGUCCCUGGAUAAACUGGCACUGGAAUGAGGAUUAAGGUAUCCCAAAGAGGAGUAAACCCAAGUGAUUGUGGCUUUUGCAUUCUUAGGAUGGCCUAGGGUGUCACAAUAUACAGUCAUUUGCUUCUAAGUUACCAGCUUUAAUUUUCUGGUACGAAGAAAUGUUGGUGAGUCCCAAGGAGAAGAUUGAGUAAAACAAGGUUCCUCUGGAGCAAGAGGGUUCAUCUCAUAAAGUCGUCCAUUAUAGCCAGCAGAUCACUGGAGAUUGUUCUUGAUUUGCUCUUGCUAGAGAUUUUCCCUCUUUAUUAAUCUAAUGAUACAGAGAUUUAAUUAGACCACAUUCUCUAAUUUACUUCCCGUACUGUCAGCAACAAAAGGUGCAAGUAGAGCAGAUCAUAAAAUACGUCGUCUUGUGGGGUCAUUUCAUCAGCUCUGCUCCACAGGGCGUGGAGCAAUGUUACAGAAGAGGGACAGCACAGAGGAGAGUGAGGAGAAGGGAAUAACAGAUAUGGUCAUCGUCAACUUAGGUCUGCCCCUGAUUAAAUCAAAAGCAGCUUUAAUAGAGUGAGAGAAAUUCUAGCCUCUUUUGGAAAUACUGUAGAGAGGUCAGGACUUUUAAUAAUGUGGCCAAAUGUCUAAAAGAAGGACCUUAAGUGGCAGUGAAGCUUGAUGGCGAUGUCUUAGGUGACAGUAAUGCUUUAUAAAGUUUUUUAGCUCUAGGUCACCACUCCAAAUCGUCUAGGUCAUUACUGACACAAAGUCGUUAUCAUCUCAUGAAUGCCAUCAAGUGACACUCAAAAUGUUAAGUAUCCCAUUCUACAAUCGAUACAUGAAAAAUCCUUCUGUCAACUUUCUGUAUGAUCGGUGAAUAGCUCAUUGUAUAGCUCUUCACUCAUAACCUCUAAUUUUAUCACAUCUAAUAAAAGACGUCACCUGUCAAGGAUAUGUCGAUAUCCCAUGGCUAACCAGCCAUCAUCAUUUGAAAGCUCAUAGCCUGUAGAAUAGGCUGAACAAUUUAUUUGUUUUUUGUCCAAUAUAACUUUCUUACUGUCAUUGUCUUAUGUUAACGUUUCCCCUUGGUCUACUGUGGAGGUUAUUUGGCACAACAGAUGUUUACUCGUAGGGGUAAAUAAUUAAACUCAAACAAUCUUUUUCAUCUCUUGGUGUCUUCUGUUGUUAUUUGCAGAGGUGGCUUAAGGGAACCAAUCUUGUUGACUUUAACAAUAUAUUCUGCCCAUCCUAUGUUUCAAGUUACAAUAAUGCUAACACUUAAAAUUAAUACAUGAAAGCCUUAUUAAUAACAUAUUUAAUGUUCUUAUAUAAUAAAACUUCAUUUUCUUUGGUGUUAUACUCCUCCAACAUACUUCUGGAUCCAAGUGUCAACAGCUUCAAUCUUCAUUAAGAGUGAUGGUGCUGGAUGUUUCAGUGAUGUUCAUGGUGGGGAUUUCUUCCUUCUCUGGCUUGUGUCCACUUGGGUUCAUCUCUAUAUGUUACUAUUUACCUCGAGUCCUUAUCCUCUUUACCACUUGCAUUGCAUCUCAGUUACAGUUUGAAAACUGCAUGACAGCUUCUCCAUCCUCAUGGGACAUGAAGGAUGAUCAUUUGUUACCUGGUGGCCAAUGGAGUUUGUCAGGGUACAUGUGGCCUUCAUAAAUCGAAGGCAGGUGGAACGUAUCUACUGACCAGUGCUGAGGUUUUAAAUACCACCGUCGUUGUUGGAAAAGUCUCUACUGAAGCUGUAGUUCUUUUGCGAAGGUGACGCUCCUUUUUGCUCAAGAGGUCACUCUCUGUUGCCUAAAGAAGAAAUGGAGAACAAACAGUUGGAAAUAAUAGUGAGGAAGGAACCAAGGGACUGUCUUUAGGAUAUAAACAAAUUAUCUCUUUAAAGUAAGCUUAAAAAACACAGGCAGAACUGAAAUGAAAACUAAAUAUUUUCUUAUAUAAAAAAGAAAGAGCCUGUGAAGAGGUUUUUGUGUGCGUGUGACCUAUACAGAUUCUAAAGUAAUUUUUAAAUGUGAUUAUACUCUCAAGCCUUACUUUUCCAAUUUCCUUCCCUCUUAGUACUAUUUCUACAAAGGCUCAUGCUGGUGUGACUAGGAGGAUUGCUCUUACAGACAACAUGCUUUUUCCCAUCCGGAGUGCAAGCAAGGCUGAAAAGGGAGAGCUAUUAAAAGCCUUGUUCCAAAUUCAGGUGGUGAAUUCUCUGUCAGCUCUUGGAAAGGAAGGACGUUUGAGCUUCUUCUGGAAGAUUUUAUAUAUAUAUAAAAGAAUGGAAAUGAAGGCAGCAGCUGAAGCAAUUUCCAAGGAAAAGCAAGAGGAGGAUGAUUUACUGUGAGCUGUAACGAGCACUAGACUCCUGGUUUCAUAAAUUCAGUAAAUAAAUGUUCCCUGGCUCCAAAGAGGCAGUUCAGAACCCCCAGCUGGAUUUUGGUGUUAGCUCGCGGAAGAGUAAAUGUUUGCACAGCUCUAUCUUCAAACAUUUCCAGCAUUUUGACCACUCAUUUGAAAUCCUCUAGCAUUACUUUUAACUAUUCUACUUUCAUGAGAACUGCUCUUUCAGGGCUUUGGAGGAAAGGAUGUAGCUACAGUGGAAAUAAAUCAAACAAGGGCGUACAUGCAAGGUGUCUCCUGUUGCUGUUCUUCAGUUGAAACCCUAUAUUAGUAUGGCACCUUGGGAGAUGAUUUAUGCAUCUUCUUGGCAAGAUCAAGUUCCGAUGUUCUCAAAGGGGGGAAAACCACAAAGCUCGUUAUCUCUUUAAAUCCCUCAAUGCCAGCAAAGCAAGGCUUAAGGAGGAGUUAAGCGGUCCGUUGGCCUUCUGCAUGAAAACUAAUUUCACCCAAAAGGCUGAGUCAGCGAAGUUUCUGAGGGAUCCGACUCAUCAUUUUGAAAGUCCCUGUGCUCCGUUUCGAAGUUCCCAAUACCCAGGGCUCACUGUAAAAAGAGAAGGUGGUAUCGGAGAGCUUACACGGAGCAUCUGUUGGGGCAUCAUCUUGGCGGAUUUGUCUCCAAACCACCCCACUAAUGUCCACUGCGCACCACACAUGAGUGCCAUGAGUACAACAGCUACCGUGGAAAUACUUCUCCCAAGCUAAUCAGCUGGAUCCCUCUGAUGAAUCUUGGAGUAUUUGCCAUUGACCAGCAGUGGGUUGGCAUUGACAGCAAAGGACUGAUUGCCUCAAAGAGAAGCAAGCAGAUGAGUCAAGGGAAUUAAGUUAAAUGUAGACUGCUAAUGAAAGGGACAGGCUCUUCCUUGAAACAUCUCUAGAGACAACUGUCAAAGCAGCAAAAAAUGAACCAGCAUAAUGACAGAGAGUGAUUUUUGUACAAAUGAUUAAUAUGCACAAGGAAACGCUACAAAAUGCUUAUUGUAAGGCUGUUGAGUCCAAGGCAGUAAAUGACAGUUGUGGGGAUGCAUACAUUUGCCUUUGCUCAAGCUUGAAACAGUCUUUUUUAAGGAAGGUUUCUGUUCAGUGAUUACUACAAGCCCUUGACUCCAAAGAAGACAAAUUGCAAGGUCCAAGCUUGUCUGUGGAAAUCAUGAUUGAUAGACAAGGGAAUAAACUCGAGCCUCCACCCUCCAUUAGAGGCAAAUCACCCUGACUAGUGUUUCACCACAACCAGAAAACCGUGAAGCCUAUAUGUCGACACAACCUGGACAGGUGGUUCUGAGUAAGAUUCUUCUGGAUUUCUUGUGAAUACUAUGAUACAGACAAGUUUCACAUUUUCUGCAUUCGUUUCAUUGAUUUGCUUUAUCAUGGUGCAAAGAGAUGCAAUUACCUGCCAAAAGUGUGUGUCUGGGAAUGUUCUCAGAUGUUUUCUCUGUAAUAUAUUCCGUGCUACUUAUUGGCAAGAAACAACAAAUGUUAAGUUGGAAACUUAAAGAAAGAAAGAUGUCAGGAAGACAUGAGGCCUUUUCCACGUGAUGCUGUCACACCUAUUCAGAGAGACCAUGGUUACUCUUCUAAAAGGCAAAUUUCUUGCUGACGGCUGGACCCAUCUCUGCUCUGAACUGGUGGGACACAGAUGAGAGCAAGAUGAGAACCCAUAGUAGGUCCACCAAGCAAAGUGGAGUUAGUUUGUCUUUACACUCCUGUAACCAAGCUGGGGAUUUGGUUGCCAGCAUUACAUAAAAUUCUGUUCAUUUUGCUGAAUAAAACCAAAAGGGAGAGGGUAGGGACAGCACCUUUUAUGUUCACUCUCAGCAAGAAGGAACAAACAACCUCUCAAUUUUUUCUGGAAAUGGAACAUAGAGGAGUUAAAGGAGGAAAGAAGAGGAGUGUUUUAAGCCAUCCAGAAGGUGCAAAUCAGGAUACAGUUGUGCAUCUCCCCAUAAGAAGGGAUAAAAGCCACUGUCUCAUGGAAAAAACUCUAAAUGUUUGAAAAUCUACAGACAUGAUAAACUUUUGUGACUAGUUUGGGUGGCUCCUUUCUGGUAGGAUUGGCUGGGUGUGAAUAUUUGGGAAAGAGAUAAUGGAUAUUUUUUCCAUUGCCAGAAAAGGCUGUGGUUGAACUUGCUUUAUUUAAAGAUUGAUGUAUGUAGGACUUGAGCAGCAGAAAAUGCCAUUAAAAUUAUACUAAACUAAUAAUAAGUGCCCGUUUUAAUCCCGCAUCUACAGCAAGGUGAGUUAGAGGAACAAUUUUAUGUUAGUUCGUACAAUAGUAUGUCUUUAAUUAUUAUGGGCCAGCAUCAUCCACACUCCAAUCAAUCACUGGAAAUAAGACACAAAUGAAUAUCCUACUGUGGCUGCCACUUUGCACUUGUCUGUAUGUGUGAGUUUAUGUAAUAAUUCUCAUAAUACCUUAAAAAAAAAAAAAAAAAAGCAGGCAAGAAAUAGAUGCGCCUUCCUCUUUCAUCUAAAUUUAACUAGAAAAAUAGUUGCAAUGAAAUUAGAGAUGCGCUGAACUAUCCAUAGGAGAUUCCAAUCCAUUAUUAGCCUACUCACCCUGCUACUUAUCUUCAAAUGCACACACCACCAGCAGAAAGGAUUUAGGUUACAUUUUAGUAAUCCAAAUCUUGUAGGUAGUGGGUUUUAGUGAAACUGGAGCACUUGUUACUAUAAUUUAACUACAAAAAACUCCAGCACUUAAUAAAGUAAGAGGUCUGACUUUAAUGCACGAAAGCAAGGAGUUUUGUGGCGAUAUCAGUAAGGCUGGGGUGUCAGUCUGGAUUUCCAACCUUAAAUCUGAACUUCCUUCAUUUGGUGGAUUUGUCAAAUGUUUAAGAGUGCCUAAAUGGGAGCUUUCUUCUGGAUGAUAUUCAAAACUCCAUAAUAGAGCCUUUUACAGAAGGAAAAAAGGAAAAUAAAAACCACACGCACACACAACUUCAAAACAACAACAAAACCAAGGAAGAAUGAGUAAAUUGGGUAACUUUGACAUGGCUGUGGUAAGGAAUAGGUCCUUAUCUUGUGGUUGUAUGGCUGUAGUGAGAGUCUGAUAUCCAAAUUUCUUCCUAGCCAUUAAAUGAAGGCAAGCUGGGACCUCUCAAAGGGGCUUUCCCUUCUCUCUGCCUCAGUUUCCUACAUGAUCAACUGAAGAUCAUAUCUACAAAUCACAGAAGAUAUUCUAAUUAUUAAUAAUUGGUAUGUAAUACACGUAAAGUGGUUUAACACGCUUGAAUGGGAAGUGUUACAGACCAUUUCAGAUGGAAUUUUAAUUACUGGUGACCACACAGGACCCCGACACACAGUCUGUGUCAGCAGAGUUUGCCCCUUCAAAAUGUAUUCAAUUAAAAUUGGUCAAGGAUACCAACUCUGGGAUUUUCAUUCCUGCUAGUUUGUUAUGGAAAAAGUGAACCACACUUCUGCAAAACAAAUAUUGGAUUGGAGGGAACACAUAUUGGAGGGAACACAUCUUGUUUUGCAAAUGUUGCAAAUAUAUUGCAAAAUAUAUGUGUACGUGUUUGCUUAUAUUCUUGUGCCUCUUGAAACAGCUGCUGGGGUUUAGUCUUGGUUUGUGCAUAACAAAAAGUGCAUAAGUGCAAAUGUUACUGACUUUGGAGUAUUUUGAGUUUUUAAUCUUCAGCAUAAUUUAAGGAAAGGAAAAUAUACAGGCUUAUUUGCUAGCAAAAUUGCCAUUUAACUGAAAUCAAAUUAUAUAAAUUAUAUGGCAUAAAAAUCUGGCACAGUAUGUCUGAAUCUAACUAAUCAAAAGUAAUAACUGUGAUGGAACAUUCAAUCAAAAGAUUCAUUAUCAAGUAUACAAAAACUAUAUUUAUUUCUCAACUUAAUCUGUGGCCUCUGUUUUCAACAUAAUCCAAAUUAUUCCUUUAUUAAUGGUGCUAUAUGGAAGCAGGAAGCACCACUCUGUGUGGAACACAAAUGUGUCAUGAAAUGCUGUAAAAUCACAUUGUGUGGUGUAUGAAAACAUUCUGGCUUGGUUUUAAUUCUGUAAAAUUCAACAAACACUGGUCAACAACAUAUUUUUACAUACAUAUGGCUAUAAAUGAUUGCAGAGUCCUCAUUUGUACAUGUCUUCUUGCCAGUGUGCCCUGAGCUGCUCGAGCACUGGUUAGCAGAGGUUACUGAAAGGGUCUCCCAAUUAAUAAAAAUCAAAAUCAAAAUUCAGUGGUUCAGCUGUCACACAUGGAUCUGCAUUUCUGACAGCAUAUUCAUUACUUAAAGCACCCUUGGUUACUGCUUUCUAUGUUAUAUCACGCUUGCAUGCUGAGAUAGAUUGUGAAGACAAAGUUCACUCGGUGGUGGAAUAAGUUAGUCUAAUUUGAAUUUGAAAUGGAUGACAUCCCAUUAUUCGGCUUAAUCUAAAUUCAGAAGAAUAUGCAAUUAAAAGUGUUAUGUUACCUAUAAAAUUUAAAUCCUGAGCCGCCUAUAAAUAUCUAGUUCUGCAAGGUAAUAUUUGGACCAUAUAUGAGAAUAUAAGAAAUAAUCACCGAGGCUGGAUAGACAGUAAUUGGUACAGAUGAUAGUAAAAAACAUGAGGAAGUUUUUUAUUACGUUUCCACCAGGAUAAACAAGUUUUCACAACGAGUAGGUCUAAUAAGAAUUGAUGUAGGUGUCAAAAUAUAUUGCCAUAAUUAACUGACAUGCAAAGCCUUAUUUAUUUAUUUAUUUAUUUUUCUUUUUUCAUUUUUUCAUUGUAAAAGCCACAAAGACAUCCUGAGCCAUUGCUAAGGUGAUGAUGUGGUGGCAGAUGUGUGACCCCCGCCUGUUUGUUAGAGUCACCAGGAUUCACACACAGGUGUAGCAGUUGGAAAAUCAUGCCUGAGUAUUGGUGGGCACGAUGACAAAUUCUGUUCUAAAUACUUAUAUCCUAUGUACAGACCUAUUCCUUCACUUCAGGAUCUUGUUGGUUACCUGAAACUCAAGAUUUAUAUUAUUAAUUCUCCUAAGUUAACCACUUUUGACUAAAUUAAAUCUGUACUUGUUAAUUGAAGUUUUGCUACCUAAUGACAUAAUAAACCCAUUUGUUAUCAACAAAUGCAUGUUUUUUUCUCCUGCUUCACUGUGGUGAACCAUAGAGUCUAAUGGUGUUACAUUUCUUCCUGAGAAAGUAUAAUUUUCAGUGUCUUUGAGCAGGUAGGAACUUGUGUGCAGACCCUUGGACAAGCACAACACCACAGGGUGGUGUUAAAAUUCACUUGCUGGAGCUUUAAGACCUGUUAUUUGCUACAUUUCUGGAUAUGCAAGAAUUGGCGCAGUAGAUCCUAAUUUGAAGUCAUUACUGUCCAUUUUCUAACAGUAAGCAGCCGGCUAAUAUCACAAACAUCAGCCUUUGCAGACAUCUUCCUUAGAUUUCUGCACCGAACCGAGAGUUUAAUAAGCAAUUAAUUGCUGAAAUGUGCAUAGCUAUCUGCAAUACCCAUUUAUAGACAUUGCAACAAAUUCAGUUCAGAAGAAUAACAUGGAGCUGGCAGGUAUUUUUAAAUGUACCUGUUUAAAAAAUAAUAAUAAUAAAAAUUUAGGGAGAUCAUUUGUAGGAGGUCCAGACUGAGGGUGAAAAGGACAAGCUGUCACUUUUUCAAGUUAACUUUUAUAGUUGUCACUGCCCAUAUAGGCCAAGGGAUAAUACCUGAGCAGCCUCUUAAAAGUAAAUGACCCAAAUCAGACAAUUAAUAAAGCAUCACUAUGUAAUGGCACACUGUACAUAUGGUAUUUUCCUUAAGACACACAUUUUUUUAAUAGAUUCUAAGAUAAGUCCUUUGCAAUCUACUGCAGUUCAGCAUGUCAAGGAAUUUGCAUGAAGACAGCAAUGUACAAAAUCAGUUAAAAGGCCAAAAUCAGUAUAUUUUUAGAGAGAAACGGCACUGAGCCCUUUUUUAGAAAGCACGGGAACACAACUCUUCCCACCUUAUUUGUAUGCAAGAGGAUGGUGGGAGACAACAAAUGCCCCCCACCUGAUACAGGGCAAUAUAUGAUGUCCCUGGAAUGUCACCCCCACACACUGCAGUCUGCAAUAUAGUCGCUUAUAGAUAUUUAACCAUGUUAUGAGUUGAGGAGUUUUGCAGUAAGUGUUUGUGGGUUCAGAAGGAGAAUAAGGGGUUCUGUUUCUUUUAACUUGAGUUUAACCUGAAGAAGCUAAACACAUUUUUCUUUCUCUACAGCUGAAAAAGAGCUGAAGUCCAGGGAGGGUGUGUCUUUGCAAUAAAUCCAUGUGCUUAUAAAUCUUUCCUGACCUUGCUUGAGAAAUUUUAAUAGCUUUGAAAUACAAUUUUAUUGCUUUAAAAUCACCAAAGCUGUGCUUUUUCCUCUCGUUGCCCAGCCUUUGCUCCAUGAGCUAUGCCGGUGGCUUAUACCUUUAGUUUAUAAACAACUUGUUGGUAAGCGGGAAGCCUUUGAUUUGUUUCAGUUUGCCAAGAAAUAAUGGAAACGAUCCAUCGAUAAUUACAAACUGGUCAUUAAAAGGUAGUCUUGUAUAUAUUCAUGUGCAAGUCUCUAACUGCCCUCAAUUAGGCGCAUCAGCAAUGACUAAUCCGUCGGCCCAUUCUGCAGCGUGUGUAGAUUUUGAAAAAAAAGCCAAAGUAUUUAAAAUAAA